rnacentral:tRNA from 1 species
AGUUUGGUGCCUGAAAAAAGGGUUACCUCGAUACGGUAAAUCAUGCAAUAUUUUGCUCAAACUA